CCUAGUAACUGCGAGUGAAGCGGGAAAAGCUCAAAUUUAAAAUCUGGCAGGCUUCGUCUGUCCGAGUUGUAAUCUAGAGAAGUGCUAUCCGCGCUGGACCGUGUACAAGUCUCCUGGAAUGGAGCGUCACAGAGGGUGAGAAUCCCGUCUAUGACACGGACUACCUGUGCUUUGUGAUGCGCUCUCAAAGAGUCGAGUUGUUUGGGAAUGCAGCUCAAAAUGGGUGGUAAAUUCCAUCUAAAGCUAAAUAUUGGCGAGAGACCGAUAGCGAACAAGUACCGUGAGGGAAAGAUGAAAAGAACUUUGGAAAGAGAGUUAAACAGUACGUGAAAUUGUUGAAAGGGAAACGCUUGAAGUCAGUCGCGUGGAUUUGGAAUCAACCUGGUUUACCUGGUGUACUUCCAAGUUUACGGGUCAGCAUCAGUUUUGACCAUUGGAAAAAGGUUGAGGGAAUGUGGCAUCUCCGGAUGUGUUAUAGCCCUUGAUUGUAUACAGUGGUUGGGACUGAGGAACUCAGCACGCCGAAAGGCCGGGGUUCGCCCACGUUCGUGCUUANGAUGCUGGCAAAAUGGCUUUAAUCGACCCGUCUUGAAACACGGACCAAGGAGUCUAACAUGCCUGCGAGUGUUUGGGUGGAAAACCCGAGCGCGUAAUGAAAGUGAAAGUUGAGAUCUCUGUCGUGGAGAGCAUCGACGCCCGGUCCUGACCUUUUGUGACGGUGCCGCGGUAGAGCAUGUAUGUUGGGACCCGAAAGAUGGUGAACUAUGCCUGAAUAGGGUGAAGCCAGAGGAAACUCUGGUGGAGGCUCGUAGCGAUUCUGAC
rnacentral:rRNA from 1 species